GCAUCUGUGGCCGAGAGGCCGAAGGCAGCGGACUCAUGUGUGACCCGUUUUCUAGAUGUUAAAGGUU
rnacentral:tRNA from 1 species